CUGGCGGUCCAACAUCGUGGAUUCAUUUAUCCAGUGUAACGAUUUACUAUAGAGAGCUACCGGCUGCUGUGAAAGUGUUGUUAUUGUGCAAUUUAUAUUGUCUAAUGUUGCACAAUGAAGUAUAUUUACAAGACAUUUAUGUGUGCAGGCUGUGGAUAACGGUGUUUAUACUGUUUUUAUCCUUAGUUACUUAACUUAUUUAUGUUUGUUUAAAAUCUCUGGUUUUUUUUCUCAGAUUUAUAUGAAAAAUGAGAAAAUAAAUUUAUUAGAUGUUUAUGGCUAUUUGCUUAUGCUGAUUCAAAUUCUAUGUUAAUUUGAGAAAUGAGAAUAUAAACUAUUUUAGAAUCGGUCUUUUUCAGGUCUGGUUUGUAGAUCUGACUUUUCCCUAGCUACUCGGUUAUAGCGGUGAUGGGAUAUCUCUCUAUGGUGGCUCCUUAAUCAACAGUGGCGCAGGCUCAGUGGCAUUCUGGGUUCGUGGUGGCGGACGGGUGUAUUCCCAACAGCAUUCCUUUCGGUGUCCGCUUUGUCAUAUCUACCGGCGAUGUCUCCUUGCUCACCGGAGUUUUCCUCUCUUUGGGUUUGGUUUUCCUUUCUCGAGCUCCUCCUGCCAGGUCAGCGUGCGCUUUGUUCUCGUGGGGUGGUGGCAGUCAGCCUUAUCUAAGUUUCUGAGGCGGCGGUGUGGUGGCUAGUAGAUAUGAGACCCUCAACUCUUGGCAGUGGCGAUCAUGGGCCAUAAGGACGGGCUCAUAUUUUCUGUCAUUUGUUGUUGAGGCUUUUGUCUCAUGGCUAGCCUCAGAGUGGUGGCUUGCGUCUUUUCUUGGUUCAUGUGGCUCUACCGGUGAGUUAUCUGAGACAGAAGGUGGUAGGCGAUGUGGCUCGGAUAAAUGUCUCCAUGGUGGAGAGAUUUUUUGUUCUUCUUCUCUUCCGAGUGACCCAAAUUCAUUCAUCGGUGGUGUGCGGUAACUGCAGCAUGCCGCUGUGCCAAGGUCUCUUCAGGCUCCUGCGCUGGUUUACAAGGAGGUUUGGUUUGUUGUAUAGGCAGUGAGGCUUAGGAUGAGGCCCCUUUACUCCUGUCUUUGUAGACUUUGG
rnacentral:lncRNA from 1 species